UCAAAAUUAAAGCUGCAUUGAUCUCAGAUCAGAAAACUCUGACAUAGUUCCCACUAGGGGGGAAAAAUCAGUAAGAAUUAAGAGAAAAAGGAAAGCAAACUGCCUAAGGCGGGAUUGCAUGGAGUUAGGAUGCAGGCAAACAGUGGCUGAGUUUCCCCUGGUUAAGGUGGCUAAUAUCCAAUCAGAAGUCAAGUUAGAUCUUUAAUACCAGAGAUGACAAUUAGCAAAUUCUACUUGUAGAUCAACACAAAUAGUCAAUUCUCUACUUAAGAAAAGCUUCUUCUUUGACCUGAGCCUUCAGAAAGUAAAAGAGGUUUGCUGAACGGCUUUCUGAUACAAAUGAAAAUAAAACCAAACAACUGGACAAACAAAAUGUACUUGCACUAGGGGCUAUAAAGAAAGUGCCUUUCUCAUAAAAAACACAGUUCACGAGAGCACCCCUGAAUCAACAUGUACCUUAUGCACCUUAACAAGAAAUCACUCAAUUUUGUUCUUAAAAUGGCUGCUAGCAAUGCUGUCUGUAAUGUAUCCAAAGUAUAACACACUGACUUACUGCUGUCUCAAUCGAGAAAAGAAAGUUCAAUUACCAAUUGCAUAGCACAGUAAAUAUGAGGAACAAACAAAAGUGGAAUAGACAAAAAAAAAAAAAAACAACUGAGUCUGCUAACCGAGCAAGAUGCAAGGGUUAGAAGCACUUUCUUUUUUGAAGAGCAUGAGCUAGUAGCAUUAGCUGAGGAAGCAGUUGUGGAUGUGACCCUCAGUCUUCGAGAAAAGUGGCUUUGGAAGUUUUUAUUUGCUUUCUGUAUAAACAUAAGUUUUGCAAAGUGAAAAGAGAUUAAACAUUACUAAAUUGAAGUAAAAUAAGGUUAAAAGUUGACUGCAUUGACCUUAAGAGUAAGCUUAUGAAACUCUGAUAUGCUAACUACCCCACUAACUUAAAAUGAUUUUUAAAAGAAGAUAAGGGUGACUCAAUAUAACUUGAUUACAUGUACAUUUUAAAAUGUUUGGAGUAGGAAUAAAUGUGGGCAUUUUUAAUGUGACAGUAUUAUAUAAUGGUAAUACUCAGCUGCAAUAAACUUUUACAUGUGUGGGUGGGUUAGUGAAGAAAGAAAAAACUGCCAUAUUAAAAAACAAAACUGGGUUGCUGUGUACCUGUAUUCUGUAUUACUGAUUUAUGAGAAAGUAAAUAUUAAUUAGUAACAAAAUUCACUAAAGCAACUAUUUAAUAUGGUGAAUCAUUAAAGUUAGAUUAGACUACAUUUUAAAUGCAACUUUACCAUAUAUUCAAAC
rnacentral:lncRNA from 1 species